rnacentral:rRNA from 1 species
GAGUGUUGCGGAUGUUUCGCAGAAGUUGACCGAACUUGAUUAUUUAGAGGAAGUAAAAGUCGUAACAAGGUUUCCGUAGGUGAACCUGCGGAAGGAUCAUUAAAGUUCUCCUUUCAAGUUAUAAACAAAAACACAAUAUAUAAAAUACUUAUAUUGUAAAAUUAUGGCAAAUGCCAAAAAGAAACAAAAUAACAAUAAUAAAAAUGUUUAUUAUUGUAUCGCCUCCUAGGCAAAAAAGUAUAGUAUAAAGUGUUUGUGUGUGUUACACAUUACACAAAAAUUGACUUAUUUAUAUAAAAUUUGUAAAAACUGAAAUUGUGUGGACGUUAUACNAAAUUAAUUUGUAUAGAAAAUGUCUAAAAAUUUGAAAUACAUAAAAUUAUAGUUGUACUUGUAUAAAAUUGAAAAGUAAUUUUUUAUAUAAGUCAAUCAUUGUUCGUUUUUUAAGAACUUGAGACAUUCGCAACAAAAAUUUUAUGUUUUAGUUAUAAAAGAGAAGAAUAAUAAGCAAAAAUUAUUGAAGGAAUUGAUAUAUGCCAAUUUGAAA